CCUACGGGAGGCAGCAGUGGGGAAUAUUGCACAAUGGGGGAAACCCUGAUGCAGCGACGCCGCGUGAGUGAAGAAGUAUUUCGGUACGUAAAGCUCUAUCAGCAGGGAAGAAAAUGACGGUACCUGACUAAGAAGCCCCGGCUAACUACGUGCCAGCAGCCGCGGUAAUACGUAGGGGGCAAGAGUUAUCCGGAUUUACUGGGGGUAAAGGGAGCGUAGACGGUGCGGCAAGUCUGGAGUGAAAUGCCGCGGCUUAACUGCGGAACUGCUUUGGAAACUGGCGCACUAGAGUGCAGGAGGGGUAAGCGGAAUUCCUAGUGUAGCGGUGAAAGGCGUAGAUAUUAGGAGGAACACCGGUGGCGAAGGCGGCUUACUGGACCGUAACUGACGUUGAGGCUCGAAAGCGUGGGGAGCAAACAGGAUUAGAUACCCUGGUAGUC
rnacentral:rRNA from 1 species